rnacentral:rRNA from 1 species
CCUACGGGAGGCAGCAGUAAGGAAUAUUGGUCAAUGGGCGCAAGCCUGAACCAGCCAUGCCGCGUGCAGGAAGACGGCCCUAUGGGUUGUAAACUGCUUUUGAACAAGAGAAAACCUCGGUACGUGUACCGAGCUGAUAGUAUUGUUAGAAUAAGCAUCGGCUAACUUCGUGCCAGCAGCCGCGGUAAGACGAAGGAUGCAAGCGUUAUCCGGAUUCAUUGGGUUUAAAGGGUGCGUAGGCGGCCUGAUAAGUCAGUGGUGAAAUCUCUCAGCUUAACUGAGAAACUGCCAUUGAUACUGUCGGGCUUGAGUACAGAUGAUGUGGGCGGAAUAUGACAUGUAGUGGUGAAAUACUUAGAUAUGUCAUAGAACACCGAUUGCGAAGGCAGCUCACAAAACUGUAAACUGACGCUGAGGCACGAAAGUGCGGGGAUCAAACAGGAUUAGAUACCCUGGUAGUCCGCACCGUAAACGAUGAUUACUCGUUGUUGGCAAUAUGACCGUCAGCGACCGACGACGAAGACGAGUAAGUAAGUACCACCCGUACGGGAGGUACGGCCCGGCCGAACCGGUACGGAAACGUACCGAAACGGAAAGUUAGUACGGACGUUAGGAGGACGACGGCCGACGGACGACCGACGAGGGGAGGGUUAGGG